UACGAGGGGGGCGAGCGUUGUUCGGAAUUACUGGGCGUAAAGGGCGCGUAGGCGGCCCUCCUUGUCGCGUGUGAAAGCCCCGGGCUCAACCUGGGAACGGCGCGCGAGACGGGGGGGCUGGAGUUCGGGAGAGGAGCGUGGAAUUCCCAGUGUAGAGGUGAAAUUCGUAGAUAUUGGGAAGACACCGGUGGCGAAGGCGGCGCUCUGGACCGAGACUGACGCUGAGGCGCGAAAGCGUGGGGAGCAAACAGG
rnacentral:rRNA from 1 species